CGCUUUCGGGUGUCGCUGAUGGAUGGACCCGCGGUGCAUUAGCUAGUUGGUGAGGUAACGGCUCACCAAGGCCACGAUGCAUAGCCGACCUGAGAGGGUGAUCGGCCACAUUGGGACUGAGACACGGCCCAAACUCCUACGGGAGGCAGCAGUAGGGAAUCUUCGGCAAUGGACGAAAGUCUGACCGAGCAACGCCGCGUGAGUGAAGAAGGUUUUCGGAUCGUAAAACUCUGUUGUUAGAGAAGAACAAGGAUGAGAGUAACUGUUCAUCCCUUGACGGUAUCUAACCAGAAAGCCACGGCUAACUACGUGCCAGCAGCCGCGGUAAUACGUAGGUGGCAAGCGUUGUCCGGAUUUAUUGGGCGUAAAGCGAGCGCAGGCGGUUUCUUAAGUCUGAUGUGAAAGCCCCCGGCUCAACCGGGGAGGGUCAUUGGAAACUGGGAGACUUGAGUGCAGAAGAGGAGAGUGGAAUUCCAUGUGUAGCGGUGAAAUGCGUAGAUAUAUGGAGGAACACCAGUGGCGAAGGCGGCUCUCUGGUCUGUAACUGACGCUGAGGCUCGAAAGCGUGGGGAGCAAACAGGAUUAGAUACCCUGGUAGUCCACGCCGUAAACGAUGAGUGCUAAGUGUUGGAGGGUUUCCGCCCUUCAGUGCUGCAGCUAACGCAUUAAGCACUCCGCCUGGGGAGUACGACCGCAAGGUUGAAACUCAAAGGAAUUGACGGGGGCCCGCACAAGCGGUGGAGCAUGUGGUUUAAUUCGAAGCAACGCGAAGAACCUUACCAGGUCUUGACAUCCUUUGACCACUCUAGAGAUAGAGCUUCCCCUUCGGGGGCAAAGUGACAGGUGGUGCAUGGUUGUCGUCAGCUCGUGUCGUGAGAUGUUGGGUUAAGUCCCGCAACGAGCGCAACCCUUAUUGUUAGUUGCCAUCAUUCAGUUGGGCACUCUAGCAAGACUGCCGGUGACAAACCGGAGGAAGGUGGGGAUGACGUCAAAUCAUCAUGCCCCUUAUGACCUGGGCUACACACGUGCUACAAUGGGAAGUACAACGAGUUGCGAAGUCGCGAGGCUAAGCUAAUCUCUUAAAGCUUCUCUCAGUUCGGAUUGCAGGCUGCAACUCGCCUGCAUGAAGCCGGAAUCGCUAGUAAUCGCGGAUCAGCACGCCGCGGUGAAUACGUUCCCGGGCCUUGUACACACCGCCCGUCACACCACGAGAGUUUGUAACACCCGAAGUCGGUGAGGUAACCUUUUGGAGCCAGCCGCCUAAGGUGGGAUAGAUGAUUGGGGUGAAGUCGUAACAAGGUAGCCGUAUCGGAAGGUGCGGCUGGAUCACCUCCUUU
rnacentral:rRNA from 1 species